UUCACUUCCGUCCUUCUUUUCCACUUCACACCUUCUGUCUACAGUUUCCCAUCUGGGUUUAGUGAGCACGGACUUGAAAUGAAUUUUGGGUUUGUUUUCACUGUGAUGUAUGCUCUGUACUAUGUUGGCUUGGAUAAGAAAGCAGGGUCCUUGGCAGCUUUGCUCUGUUUUGUCAAUUGGGUUGGAGCCAGUGUUCUUGGUGGUGAGCUUGGGUUUUCAAAAUCAUGGAAGGUUGUUCUGAUUGGUCAGUUGCUCUCCUGGGCUGGACAGAUCAUAGGCCAUGGGGUUUUUGAGAAAAGAGCUCCUUCAGAAAACUUUGCUGAAGGGCUUCUGAUGGGGCCUUACUUUGUGCUGCUUGAGCUUCUUCACUUCGCCUUUGGCUAUGAACCUUAUCCAGGGUUUUACAAAAGUGUGAAUGCAAAGAUUGAUGCUGAUAUCGCAGAGUGGAAGGUGGCCAAGAACCAAAAGAAACUCUCUUAAUUAUCUGAGAUGGAUUGAGAUGAAUGUACUGGUUAUUUAGUAUUAAAAUUUUGUCAAAUCUCUUAUGUAGUUUAUGAACUUUGGUAUUUUGUAUGAAAAUUUUGUAAAAUUACUGUAGUUUCCUUCCUUUAUGAACUUUAUGAAUGUACUGGCUUUCUACUAUCAGCUUCUUCUUUUAACCUUUCGGUUUUUUGACAACUAGAUCAAAUGCAACUUUGCAUUUUUAAGUUUCUUCUUUCUUGGGAUGUUUGCUUUCUUUCUAGAUUACCUCUAAUGAUCUCGUCAGCUUGCUUUGCAAAUUAAUGCAACUUGCACAAAGGAAUCUUCUGUUACUUGUUCAAGGUACUGACAAAGACAAUGCAUUAUUCUUAUUAAAAGACCGGAAACAAAGGUGCAGUUUUCCUGUACUAAUUGCAGAGGACAUGAUAGCCUAUAAUAUAUUUUGAUGCAAAAGUUUGUAUAAUUUCAAUGCCUUUCGACAUGAAAAUUCCGAGGUACGAUGUAUUUCCUUGUAAUUUGUUGGCUUUGUAUUACAACUAAAUAACAUCAAAUCCAAGGUUUACUGACACCAAAUCAGCCAAACCAGAAAUUAGGAGGUAGAACACAUGAUCAUUAAAAUUGAGUUUAAUAAAAGUGUCAUUGGUUUGCUUCAACUUAAAGACUUCACAUGAAUAGGUGGCCAGAUCCAAUCAAUUGUGAGGCAUGUGUCUCAUGGUGAUCCAUAAGAACUCUGGUUGCCAUAGAUACAAGACAAUGGUGGGUAGAAAUAUGAUUUAAUAUAUAGCCCAAUCCAAUCCUUUCCCAUAAAAUUAGUUUAACGAUAUUAUAAAAAAUGACCACUUACACAUUGUUAUACAAUUAAGAAAGAAAAUUUCAAAGUAGCUAGCAGGAAACUUCACCAGCUGUGCUUUUAUCUGUACCCAAUUUGUUUCAUUUGCCAGUCAAGUCUAAAUUUCCAGUAAACCCUGUCCUUUUCUUCCAACAAACACAAUUCAAUUUGGCAAGAAAAGUUUCAUGGGGAGGACUGGAUUGUUUGAUCUUGAAAGGCACUUUGCCUUUUAUGGAGCAUAUCACAGCAACCCAGUUAACAUUUUGAUACACACUUUCUUUGUGUGGCCAUUAUUCUUCACUGCUGCCGUUCUUCUCCAUUUCACACCUUCUCUCUACAAUUUCCCAUCUGGGAUUAGUGAACAUGGUCUUGAAUUGAAUUUUGGGUUUGUUUUUACUUUGAUGUAUGCUGUUUUUUAUGUUUGCUUGGAUAAGAAAGCAGGGCCCCUGGCAGCUUUGCUCUGCUUUCUCUGUUGGGUUGGAGCCAGUUUUCUUGCUGGUGGACUUGGGUUUUCCAGGUCAUGGAAGCUUGUUCUGGCUGCUCAGUUGUUUUGCUGGACUGGACAGUUCAUAGGCCAUGGGAUAUUUGAGAAAAGAGCACCGGCUAUUUCAGACAACUUUGUUCAAGCACUUCUAAUGGGGCCUUACUUUGUGCUGCUUGAGCUUCUUCAAUCAGCCUUUGGCUAUGAACCUUAUCCAGG
rnacentral:lncRNA from 1 species